rnacentral:rRNA from 1 species
AUAUAGCGGAGGCCUGAACCAACCGGGAUUCCCUGAGUAAGGGCGACUGAAAGGGGAUGAGCCCAGCGCAUAACCUUGCGGUCGUUUUUUGGCCGUCGAGGGGUGUUGCGUUUCGGUGGAUCCGUACCGCUCGAAUUGCUGACCGCCUAAGUCAUUGCUUGAAUGCAGCCCCAAGGAGGGUGGUAGGCCCGUGUGGCGGCGCCUGUAAAAAGGUUUGGAAGCAAUUUGGGCGGAGGGAUGUUUACCGUAGAGUCGGGUUGCUUAGUACUGCAGCCCUAAGUAGGUGGUAAACUCCAUCUAAGGCUAAAUACUACCACGAGUCCGAUAUUUGACAAGUACCGUGAGGGAAAGCUGAAAAGGACUCUGAAGAGAGAGUUCAAGAGGACGUGAAACCAUUAGAAGCUGAAACGGGUGGAACCGUGAAGGUGGAAAGAGGGGAUUCAGGCUGUUGGCAGAGGCUAUUGGCUGCGGGUAAUGUUGAGAGAUAUGGACCCGGCGUACGAGUGAGUUGUCCGGGCACCCGUGGCCUUUUUGUCUUUGUGAGCAGGCUUAGUUCUCCCUCGAGUACGAGACGUGGCGACCCGCUGUUGGGACCCCGAGGGCCCUGAAGGACUGGUAGCCUAGACCUUCGGUUUGGGUGAUGACCUUUAUGGGUACUGAGUGGGUUUGAACGGCGGUCACUGUGAGGAAGUAGCGGUGGGUGCAGCUUAUGGCUGCAUCGACUUGCUUCUCGCAUGUGAAGAGGUAUCGGUAAUCCCCCCACCUCUUUUUAAAACACACGAGACAAAA